GAUGAAGAACGUAGCGAAAUGCGAUAAGUAGUGUGAAUUGCAGAAUUCAGUGAAUCAUCGAAUCUUUGAACGCACAUUGCGCCCUUUGGUAUUCCAAAGGGCAUGCCUGUUCGAGCGUCAUUUGUACCCUCAAGCUUUGCUUGGUGUUGGGCGUCUUGUCUCUAGCUUUGCUGGAGACUCGCCUUAAAGUAAUUGGCAGCCGGCCUACUGGUUUCGGAGCGCAGCACAAGUCGCACUCUCUAUCAGCAAAGGUCUAGCAUCCAUUAAGCCUUUUUUCCAGCUUUUGACCUCGGAUCAGGUAGGGAUACCCGCUGAACAUAAGCAUAUCAAUAAGCGGAGGA
rnacentral:misc_RNA from 1 species